GCCGGCUGGAAGGGUUUCCUUCCAGCCAGCAAGGUACAUGUACCUCAAUGGCUGGAAGGAAAACCUUCAGGUACAUGUACCUCAAUGGCUGGAAGGAAAACCUUCCAGUCAGCAAGGUACAUGUACCUCGUUGACCGGAAGGAAACCCUUCCAGUCGGC
rnacentral:miRNA from 1 species